rnacentral:rRNA from 1 species
UACGUAGGGUGCAAGCGUUGUCCGGAAUUAUUGGGCGUAAAGAGCUCGUAGGCGGUCUGUCGCGUCGGCUGUGAAAACCUGAGGCUCAACCUUGGGCCUGCAGUCGAUACGGGCAGACUAGAGUUCGGUAGGGGAGACUGGAAUUCCUGGUGUAGCGGUGAAAUGCGCAGAUAUCAGGAGGAACACCGGUGGCGAAGGCGGGUCUCUGGGCCGGUACCGACGCUGAGGAGCGAAAGCGUGGGGAGCGAACAGG